rnacentral:rRNA from 1 species
AACGAACGCUGGCGGCAUGCCUAACACAUGCAAGUCGAACGAGACCUUCGGGUCUAGUGGCGCACGGGUGCGUAACGCGUGGGAACCUGCCCUUAGGUUCGGAAUAACUCCCCGAAAGGGGUGCUAAUACCGGAUAAUGUCUUCGGACCAAAGAUUUAUCGCCUUUGGAUGGGCCCGCGUUGGAUUAGCUAGUUGGUAGGGUAAAAGCCUACCAAGGCGACGAUCCAUAGCUGGUCUGAGAGGAUGAUCAGCCACACUGGGACUGAGACACGGCCCAGACUCCUACGGGAGGCAGGAGUGGGGAAUAGUGGAAAAUGGGCGAAAGCAUGAUCCAGCAAUGACGGGUGAGUGCUGAAGGCAUUAGGGUUGUAAAGCUCUUUUAACCGGGAUGAUAAUGACAGUACCGGGAGAAUAAGCUACGGCUAACUCCGUG